rnacentral:rRNA from 1 species
UCUGUAGCAAGGUUAACCGAAUAGGGGAGCCGGAGGGAAACCGAGUCUUAACCGGGCGUUAAGUUGCAGGGUAUAGACCCGAAACCCGGUGAUCUAGCCAUGGGCAGGUUGAAGGUUGGGUAACACUAACUGGAGGACCGAACCGACUAAUGUUGAAAAAUUAGCGGAUGACCUGUGGCUGGGGGUGAAAGGCCAAUCAAACCGGGAGAUAGCUGGUUCUCCCCGAAAGCUAUUUAGGUAGCGCCUCGUGAAUUCAUCUCCGGGGGUAGAGCACUGUUUCGGCUAGGGGGCCAUCCCGGCUUACCAACCCGAUGCAAACUGCGAAUACCGGAGAAUGUUAUCACGGGAGACACACGGCGGGUGCUAACGUCCGUCGUGAAGAGGGAAACAACCCAGACCGCCAGCUAAGGUCCCAAAGUCAUGGUUAAGUGGGAAACGAUGUGGGAAGGCCCAGACAGCCAGGAUGUUGGCUUAGAAGCAGCCAUCAUUUAAAGAAAGCGUAAUAGCUCACUGGUCGAGUCGGCCUGCGCGGAAGAUGUAACGGGGCUAAACCAU